rnacentral:rRNA from 1 species
AGAGCGAACGCUGGCGGCAGGCCUAAUACAUGCAAGUCGAGCGGCCACUUCGGUGGCAGCGGCGGACGGGUGAGUAACGCGUGGGAAUGUGCCCUUUGGUACGGAACAACUGAGGGAAACUUCAGCUAAUACCGUAUGUGCCCUUCGGGGGAAAGAUUUAUUGCCAUUGGAGCAGCCCGCGUUGGAUUAGCUAGUUGGUGGGGUAAAGGCCCACAAGGCGACGAUCCAUAGCUGGUCUGAGAGGAUGAUCAGCCACACUGGGACUGAGACACGGCCCAGACUCCUACGGGAGGCAGCAGUAGGGAAUCUUGCGCAAUGGGCGAAAGCCUGACGCAGCCAUGCCGCGUGAAUGAUGAAGGUCUUAGGAUUGUAAAAUUCUUACACCGGGAAGAUAAUGACGGUACCGAGAAGAAGCCCGGCUAACUUCGCGCCAGCAGCCGC